GUAAGUCCCAGGUAAUUGUAGGGGUAAGUCCUCCAUAGUAGAGGUAAGUCCCCCGGGGUAAGUCCUCCAUAGUAGAGGUAAGUCCCCUGGGGUAAGUCCUCCACAGUAGAGGUAAGUCCCCAAAGGAGUUGAAGUCUCCUAGGUAUGACUGGUGAACGAUUGUAUUAUUGAACCAUUUCACACUAUUUAGGUGAUAUGACAAAAUAAUCCAAUGUUCACAUGACUUGUUGGUUUUGGUGUCAGACAAUUGAGCUAGUUCGAUUGUCCAAAGGCUGAGAACCAGGGUAUAGCGAGCCAUAGAUCUCAGCUGGCCAAAAUCAUAGGGAAACUUGAUUUUGGUGUCAAAUAGGAAUAUUACUUUCCUGUUUAAGGGUUGAGAACCAGGGACAUAGUGUGCCAUAAAUCUCAACUGGCCACAAUCAAGGUUUAAAAAA